rnacentral:rRNA from 1 species
GACGAACGCUGGCGGCGUGCUUAACACAUGCAAGUCGAACGGUAAGGCCCUUCGGGGUACACGAGUGGCGAACGGGUGGAGUAACACGUGGGUGAUCUGCCCUGCACUUCGGGAUAAGCCUGGGAAACUGGGUCUAAUACCGGAUAGGACCAUGGACUUCACGGUUUGUGGUGGAAAGCUUUUGCGGUGUGGGAUGGGCCCGCGGCCUAUCAGCUUGUUGGUGGGGUAAUGGCCUACCAAGGCGACGACGGGUAGCCGGCCUGAGAGGGUGUCCGGCCACACUGGGACUGAGAUACGGCCCAGACUCCUACGGGAGGCAGCAGUGGGGAAUAUUGCACAAUGGGCGCAAGCCUGAUGCAGCGACGCCGCGUGAGGGAUGACGGCCUUCGGGUUGUAAACCUCUUUCAAUAGGGACGAAGCGCAAGUGAGGUACCUAUAGAAGAAGCACCGGCCAACUACG